rnacentral:rRNA from 1 species
UACGUAGGGCGCAAGCGUUGUCCGGAAUUAUUGGGCGUAAAGAGCUCGUAGGCGGUCUGUCGCGUCUGCUGUGAAAACUCAGGGCUUAACCCUGAGCUUGCAGUGGGUACGGGCAGACUAGAGUGCGGUAGGGGAGACUGGAAUUCCUGGUGUAGCGGUGAAAUGCGCAGAUAUCAGGAGGAACACCGGUGGCGAAGGCGGAUCUCUGGGCCUUGCCUGACGCUGGAGGCGCGGAAAGCGUUGGGUAGCAAACGGG